UACGAAGGGGGCUAGCGUCGCUCGGAAUCACUGGGCGUAAAGGGUGCGUAGGCGGGUUUUUAAGUCAGAGGUGAAAUCCUGGAGCUCAACUCCAGAACUGCCUUUGAUACUGAAGAUCUUGAGUUCGGGAGAGGUGAGUGGAACUGCGAGUGUAGAGGUGAAAUUCGUAGAUAUUCGCAAGAACACCAGUGGCGAAGGCGGCUCACUGGCCCGAUACUGACGCUGAGGCACGAAAGCGUGGGGAGCAAACAGG
rnacentral:rRNA from 1 species